ACGCUCGACACCUACGCGAGGCAGCAGUGGGGAAUAUUGCACAAUGGGGGAAACCCUGAUGCAGCGACGCCGCGUGAGCGAAGAAGUAUUUCGGUAUGUAAAGCUCUAUCAGCAGGGAAGAAACUGACGGUACCUGACUAAGAAGCACCGGCUAAAUACGUGCCAGCGGCCGCGGUAAUCUGAGCGGGCUGGCAAGGC
rnacentral:rRNA from 1 species